rnacentral:rRNA from 1 species
AGUGAACGCUGGCGGUAGGCCUAACACAUGCAAGUCGAACGGCAGCACAGUAAGAGCUUGCUCUUACGGGUGGCGAGUGGCGGACGGGUGAGGAAUACAUCGGAAUCUACUUUUUCGUGGGGGAUAACGUAGGGAAACUUACGCUAAUACCGCAUACGACCUACGGGUGAAAGCAGGGGAUCUUCGGACCUUGCGCGAUUGAAUGAGCCGAUGUCGGAUUAGCUAGUUGGCGGGGUAAAGGCCCACCAAGGCGACGAUCCGUAGCUGGUCGGAGAGGAUGAUCAGCCACACUGGAACUGGGACACGGUCCAGACUCCUACGGGAGGCAGCAGUGGGGAAUAUUGGACAAUGGGCGCAAGCCUGAUCCAGCCAUACCGCGUGGGUGAAGAAGGCCUUCGGGUUGUAAAGCCCUUUUGUUGGGAAAGAAAAGCAGCAGGUUAAUACCCCGCUGUUCUGACGGUACCCAAAGAAUAAGCACCGGCUAACUUCGUG